UAUUUACCUUGAUGGGAGACCUUCUUUUCCAGAGAAGUAAGCCAUCACCGUCCCCCCAGAGAGAAGAAGCAAGGAGCCUCCCCAGCCAAUGAAAAUUGCAGCUCCAAGUUCAAAUCUGAACAGCAAGUAUUAAGAUAGGUUAUACCUCCAGCGAAGGUCACCCUGGCGUUGGCGAUGUCUGAUCCACCGAUUUUAGUGCAUUUCAUCCCGACGAGUGUGAGGACGCCUCCGAAGAAACCAGUGAUGACGGCACAGACAGCGAGCGCUCUGCAGGCGUGUAGGAACGCUGAAAGAAAACAGAGUCUCCUACCAGGCAGAGCCAGCAUCGAGGGGUAAUCCUUGCAGUCAGACACCCCUGUGGUAUCUGAGAUGCAGUCCUUCCACAGGUUGGAGUAGUAGUUGGAGGUGGUCAGCACGAUGCUGCCCACCUCGGAGAAAGUCCAGUACUCUGUGGGGAGAGUGGAACACACCAGGAUCCAGCCACACAGACAGGACACAAAGCAGCCGAUCUCCAUGUACAUCACCACCGUCCUGUACUUCAUGAGCGGCUUACACACUGACCACAGGUAGAAGAAACCGCCAGUCAUGUGAAAGGCUGAGCCGACCCAGCCGAGGAACAUCGGCGUGCCAAGGUCAUACCUGUCGGUGUGUGAAGAGGUGCACUCCAUACCCAUCAGACUGAGCACAAACCCCAGCAUGCCCAGGGAAAGAGCCGCCAUCAGCAGGCCUCGCACUAUCUGGAUGUAGCCUGGAAUCAUACAGCUGGACCAGUACCAGGCCACCUUGAUGAUGGAGGACCCCCCCAUGCCCCCAAUGGAGGUGAUCUUCCAGCCUUCCAUGGCCAUGGUGCAGGCCACGAAGAUCCAGCCCAAAACUGACAUCAGGAAACCCCAGAUCUGAACCACACGGACCUGCAUCUCUCCCUUACUCAUGCAGAAGAUGUGUACAUCCUGAACAGAAAGUCCACUUUUCAUCCAAAUUCAAGCAGAAGCUUGUUUCAGCUGCUCGUCUCAGAAAAAGCAGAGGAUGAGCGCAUCACAGGU